rnacentral:rRNA from 1 species
CGCCGGCCACGGUAAUACGAAGGGGGCUAGCGUUGCUCGGAAUUACUGGGCGUAAAGGGAGCGUAGGCGGAUCGUUUAGUCAGGGGUGAAAUCCCGGGGCUCAACCUCGGAACUGCCUUUGAUACUGGCGAUCUUGAGUAUGGGAGAGGUGUGUGGAACUCCGAGUGUAGAGGUGAAAUUCGUAGAUAUUCGGAAGAACACCAGUGGCGAAGGCGACACACUGGCCCAUUACUGACGCUGAGGCUCGAAAGCGUGGGGAGCAAACAGGAUUAGAUACCCGUGUAGUCCCUGUCUCAUACAC